rnacentral:rRNA from 1 species
CCUACGGGAGGCUGCAGUGGGGAAUAUUGGACAAUGGGGGCAACCCUGAUCCAGCCAUGCCGCGUGUGUGAAGAAGGCCCUCGGGUUGUAAAGCACUUUCAGUGAGGAAGAACGCCUGGUGGUUAAUACCCAUCAGGAAAGACAUCACUCACAGAAGAAGCACCGGCUAACUCCGUGCCAGCAGCCGCGGUAAUACGGAGGGUGCGAGCGUUAAUCGGAAUUACUGGGCGUAAAGCGCGCGUAGGUGGCUUGAUAAGCCGGUUGUGAAAGCCCCGGGCUCAACCUGGGAACGGCAUCCGGAACUGUCAAGCUAGAGUGCAGGAGAGGAAGGUAGAAUUCCCGGUGUAGCGGUGAAAUGCGUAGAGAUCGGGAGGAAUACCAGUGGCGAAGGCGGCCUUCUGGACUGACACUGACACUGAGGUGCGAAAGCGUGGGUAGCAAACAGGAUUAGAUACCCGUGUAGUA